GAUCAUCCACUGCGCAGCUUAGUCGAUCUCGUUCGGUUCGCUCCCUUUGUCCGAUGACUUACUGCGUUUCGCAAAGGUACCUUCCUACCUGCUACAACGGCGACAUAAACCGUAAACGUAAAUCAUUUACUCGUUAUUAUAGAAGUGGUUCACACGGUCACGUCGUGUUCGACAGUAUCGUCUCGACUUUCGUCUCUUCAAUAUAACAACAUAAUAUUAUUAUUCCCACGUAUUAUUCAUAAUCUUCUUCGAUUUAAUUUUGUUUCAUUUAAAAUUUUCUUUCAUUAUCUACGACCCAAUAUUAUCCACAUUCCACACGAUAUCGGAUCUGCUCGUCAAAUAUAUGGAUUUUCUCAAAUCCUUCGGAUCGUUGGAGAUUUUUUUCGUUUAAAAACCAAACAGAAAAUCACAACUAAUCAUGGGAGGCCAAUCCACCAAAAUCCAGAAUAAAGUGAUGGAUGUUAAGCCACCUAGUAACCAUAAAAUGCGUAUUGUCACAUUGGAAGAUGGUCAUUUUCAAGAUGAAACAUUAUAUAAACUGAAAAAAGGUUGGUAUUUAGAAUUUCGGCUGGGUCCAUCACUUUUUGGACGUGACAUUACUAUUUAUACUAACAUACCAGCGGAAGGAUUAGCGUUUGAUAGAAAAACUUAUCGUCGCCUUGAUUGGAUUAGAGAGUGGUCGAGUGAUGAUAUUACUAUUGAUGAUUCUUCAUUAUCUUGUCUUAUCCAAAUGAACAAUGCUGGUUCUUUUCAUUAUUACUAUGAACACAAUGGACAAAAGAAAGGAUGUGGUUACAUUAAUGUUGACCCAAAUUUGGUUGCUGGAAACAAAGAUAUACCAUUAGAAUCACUACAAACUGUAUCUGUUUUAACAAAAUGUUUAGGACCAUUUUCUUCGUGGAAAUCUAAGUUACAAGUUGCAAAAGAGUCUGGAUACAACAUGGUGCAUUUUACACCUAUUCAAGAACUUGGAGGUUCAAAGUCAUCUUAUAGUUUGAGAAAUCAAUUGGAGUUAAAUCCAUCUUUCAAUGAUACUAAUAAUCAAGUUACGUUUAAUGAUGUUAAGUCUUUGACUGAUGAAAUGAAAACAGAAUGGAAUGUAUUAAGUAUUUGUGACAUAGUGCUGAAUCAUACAGCCAAUGAUAGUCCAUGGCUAUUGAAACAUCCUGAAUCUGCUUAUAACUUGGUUAAUUGUCCAUAUUUAAAACCAGCUUAUUUGUUAGAUUACACUCUUUAUCACUUUACUGUCGAAGUUUCUAAAGGUAUAUGGGAAUUUUUUGGAGUUCCUUCAAUUGUUAAUAGUGAAGAUCAUCUCGCAUCCAUACGGCAUGCGUUAUUAACAAAUGUAUUACCAAAAGUAAAAAUCCAUGAGCUGUUUCAAUUAAAUAUUGACAAAAUUGUAGCAGAGUUUCAAGAAAAAGUACGUGCUGGUCUCCCUCCAGUAGCUAAAAAUCCAGAAUCUGAUGAAGAAUUAACAUUAAUACCGGAUCCAGAAUUUGGCCGAUUAACCGCUACAAUUGAUAUGAAUAAAGCAUUGAAACUAUACAAUAUAUAUAGAAGCAACUGUUUUGAUGAAGAUACUAGGCUACGUCGUUGCAGUUUAGAAUUAAAAUUAAAAUUGGAAACUUUAAACAAUAUAGUCUUUAAUGAAGUUCAAGAACAUUUAAUAGCUGCUGUUGAUAAUAGUAUUGCUGGUAUAAGAUAUUUUAGAGUUCAACCAGAUGGUCCUAGAUUAACCAAAGUUUCUGUUACUAAUCCUCUAGUACCAAGGUAUUUUACAGACUAUGAAGGUGAAACUGCUGAAGAUGUAUUGCAUUCUUUAAAUGGACAAUUUGUAAUGGCACACAAUGGAUGGGUUAUGGGUGGUGACCCACUUAAAAAUUUUGCUGGACCAGACUCUAAUAUUUAUUUCCGUAGAGAAUUAAUUGCCUGGGGAGAUAGUGUUAAAUUAAGAUAUGGAAGUGAACCUAAAGAUUGUCCAUUUUUAUGGAAUCAUAUGCAGUGUUAUGUGGAACAAACAGCUAAAAUAUUUGAUGGUGUCAGAUUAGAUAAUUGCCACUCAACUCCAUUGCAUGUUGCUGAAUAUUUGCUUGAUGCCGCUCGAAAAGUUAAACCAGAUUUAUAUGUUGUAGCAGAGUUGUUUACAAAUUCAGAUUCUACUGACAAUAUAUUUGUUAAUAGACUUGGAAUUACAUCACUUAUUCGUGAAGCAAUGUCUGCAUGGGAUUCACAUGAACUUGGGCGCUUAGUUCACCGCUAUGGUGGUGAACCGGUUGGUGGAUUUUUUAAACCACUAGAACAACCAGUAUGUCCUACUGUUGCUCAUGCUCUUUUCAUGGAUCAAACUCAUGAUAAUCCAUCUCCGAUCCAAAAACAUUCAGUUUAUAAUUUGUUGCCUAGUGCAGCUUUAGUAUCUAUGGCAUGCUGUGCUAGUGGAAGCAAUAUGGGUUAUGAUCAACUAGUUCCACAUCAUAUACAUGUUGUUGAAGAAGAAAGACAAUAUAUGCAAUGGUCAGCUAAUGAAAUUAAUAUUACUACAGGGAUAGUAGCAGGGAAAAAAGCAUUAAAUGCACUUCACUAUGAUCUGGGAAAAGGUGGUUUUGAUCAAGUUUAUGUAGAUCAAAUUGAUAAUGAUAUUGUCUGUGUGACACGUCAUAAUAGCAAAACACAUGAGAGUGUUGUACUUAUGUCAUAUACUUCUUUUUCAAACCCAUCUAACCAAAACGGUUUGGGAAAAGGGAUUACUGUAACUGGAAAAGUUGAUAAUAUACUAAUUGAAACUUCAUUGCAACAUAUGAUAUUGGACAAUACUAAAGAAUUUGAAAAAGAUGAUAAUAAGAUCAAUGGUCUAGAUGAUUAUGUAUUGAGCUUAAGACAAAAUGUUAUUCCUCAAGAAUGUUUGAUGUUAGAAAUAAUACCUUCAGUUGAUAAAGUUUCUGUUAGAUUAAAUUUUACUGAAAAAUUUAAACCUGGUUGUGUCGUAGCAGUUGCUAUUGCCCCAGUGGAGAAAACAAAAAUAGCUGUUGAACAGUUAUUAUCUGAUAUUGAUUUGGUACAAGCAGUGAGUCGUUUAUCUCUAUCCGACAUGAAUUAUAUUUUGUUCAGAUGUCCUGAAGAAGAUGAAGGAAAUGUUUAUGAUGUACCAGGAUUUGGUAAAUUGGUGUAUUGUGGAAUCCAAGGGUUUAUGUCAGUUUUAGACUUGGUGGCUUCAAAUAAUGAUUUAGGUCAUCCACUAUGUGAAAAUCUCCGAAAUGGAUUUUGGAUUCUAGAUUACAUAUGUGGACGUUUAAAACGUAAAGAAUUUGAAAACUGCCCAUUGUAUCAAUUUGGAGACUUUUUAGAAAGAUAUUUACAGCCUAUUAGGAACUUGCCAUCAUAUUUAGUGCCCUGUUAUUUUGAAUUUUCUUUGAGAAAAGUAUACUAUGCUGUGUUGGACCGAACAUGGUCAAUGAUGCCUGGAGAUAUAAAAAAUGGUUCUACAUUUUGUAAAUAUUUAGCUCUUGCUUCAAUUCAAUUUGCUGGAGUUGUUAAAUCUAGUCCUCUUCCAAGUCUUUCGCCAAACCUUUUAGCACCUUUACUCAAAAUACAAAUAGCACCUGAUGGAUUAUAUCGUCCAGAGUGUAUAACACUUGCAGCUGGAUUACCACAUUUUUCUAGUGGUUACAUGAGAAAUUGGGGCAGAGAUACUUUCAUUUCGUUGAAAGGAUUGUUGCUGAUUACUGGCCGUUAUGAAGAAGCCAAGUACAUUAUCUUAGGAUUUGGCAGUUGUUUAAGACAUGGCCUUAUUCCAAAUCUAUUAGAUGGAGGUAAUAACCCACGUUAUAAUUGUCGUGAUGCUGUUUGGUGGUGGUUGUAUGUAAUUCAGCAGUAUGUUAUAAUGGUACCUGGAGGUAUAAGUAUUUUGGAUGAUCCAGUAAACAGAAUUUUUCCAAAUGAUGAUUCUGAACCCACAUCAUUUGAACAACCGUUACAUGAAGUAAUUCAAGAAGUUAUGUUAAAACAUUUCCAAGGGUUAUGUUUUCGUGAACGUAAUGCUGGAACUUCUAUUGAUGCCCACAUGAAAAGUACAGGCUUUGAUAAUCAAAUUGGAGUACAACCUCUAACUGGCUUUGUGUUUGGUGGUAAUGAGUGGAAUUGUGGUACUUGGAUGGAUAAAAUGGGCUCUUCAGAUAAAGCUGGUAACCGAGGACGACCUGCAACUCCUCGUGAUGGAUCAGCUAUAGAGUUGAUUGCAUUGUCAAAGUCAACGGUAGCAUGGUUAGCUACAUUGAAAAAAGCUCAGCAGUUUAAGUAUUCAGGAGUUACCCGUACAAAUAAGGAUGGAUCAGUAACUACAUGGACAUAUAAAGAAUGGAACGAAAAAAUUCAAAAAAAUUUUGAAACAUACUUCUGGAUACCUGAGGAGAAAUAUAAUCAAAAGCAAUUUGAACCUCAUCCAGAACUUAUUAACCGAAGAUGUAUUUAUAAGGAUACAGUUGGCGCAACAAAUAAAUGGGGAGACUACCAACUACGAUGCAAUUAUGUUGUAGCAAUGGCAGUGGCACCAGAGUUGUUUAACCCAGAUCAUGCAAGAAAAGCUUUAAAAGUAGUAACAGAUGUGCUCCUAGGGCCACUUGGUAUGAAAACUUUAGAUCCAUCUGAUUGGGCGUACAAUGGCUUUUACGAUAAUGAUAACAAUACUACUGAUUUAAAUGUAGCCAAUGGUUUCAAUUAUCACCAAGGACCAGAGUGGUUGUGGCCUGUUGGUUUCUUUUUAAAAGCAAAGUUAAUAUUUUCUACAAAUAAACGAGAAGCUAUAUCUGAAAUUCAAGGUAUAUUAUCUAAACAUUUUGAACAUAUAAAAACAUCAGUUUGGAGAGGCUUACCUGAAUUAACGAAUAAAGAUGGAGCUUUUUGUGCUGGAUCAUGCCCAACUCAAGCAUGGAGUGUUGCUACAAUUCUUGAGCUGUUUAAUGAAAAACAAACUAUUCAAGUGCGUCCUGAGCGUACUUAUGGAUCAGCAGUAUUGUCAUUGAUCACCAAAAUAUUUUAACCCCAUAUACUAAUAAGUAAUAUACUUGCAUUCAUCUAACAUAAGCAACUAAGCACUAAUUUUACUUUAAUGGCUAUAACAAACUCAAAUCAAAUCUAAAUUAAAUUUGUAAAUAUAUUAUUUAUUGAUUAUUAUUAUUAUUUAUAUUAAAUGCUAUUACUUAAAUGAAAAUCAUUGUGGAAGUUAAAAAUGUAUAACUCAAUUAGACUGAUAGGAAUUUUUUUACCAAAUUAAUGUUACAAAAAUUUGCUGUUCGUUUUAUAGAACAGAUCAAAUAUAUUUUUAUGUAUACCAUUGUUGAAUUAUUGUGAAAUUUCAAUUUUUUAUUAUUGUAUAACAUUGAGUAUUUGAUAAAGAAACUAAUACAAACAAUCUAAUAUUUAAUUUGAAUACACACUAUCUAAAUA